AGGAGGAACAACCGCAGUGGCUGAGCCAGCUCUGGAGCCCUGGAUUCCGCCCCCGCAGUAGCUCCAGAGCUCUCCGUCUGCAGGGCCUGGAGGCUCCGGGCGGGG
rnacentral:pre_miRNA from 1 species